rnacentral:rRNA from 1 species
UAUUAUUUUUGAUGUUAAUUAUUUAACCUGAGUAGUAAUAGAUAUGGUCUUGAAACUUAAAGAAUUUGGCAGUAUUUUAUUCUGUUCAGAGGAACCUGUUCUUUUAUCGAUAAUCCUCGUUGGACCUUACUUGAUUUAUUGAUUUGUAUACCGCCGUUUUAUUGAGGAUCUUUAUAGUGUUUUAAUUUUCUAAAUUUUAUUUAAAAUUAUUUCAGGUCAAGGUGCAAUUUAUGAUUAAGUAGAAAUGGGUUACGUUUGUAUUUAUUUUUGGAUUAUUAAAUGAAAUUUUAACAUGAAAUUGGAUUUGAAUGUAAUUAUUAUUUUAGAUUGUAUUAAUGAUUUAGUUUCUAGAGUGUGUACACAUCGCCCGUCACUCUCGUUAUUUAUUCGAG